CGAAGGGCGUAGCGUUACUCGGAAUUACUGGGCGUAAAGGGCGCGUAGGCGGCGUUCCAAGUCAGGCGUGAAAGCCCUGGGCUCAACCUGGGGACUGCGCUUGAUACUGGAGUGCUUGAGGAUGGAAGAGGGUUGUGGAAUUCCCAGUGUAGAGGUGAAAUUCGUAGAUAUUGGGAAGAACACCGGUGGCGAAGGCGGCAACCUGGUCCAUUUCUGACGCUGAGGCGCGAUAGCGUGGGGAGCAAACAGGAUU
rnacentral:rRNA from 1 species